AUUUUCCUUUUUUUUUUUUUCCCCCUCCUAACUUCUAGUUGAGAGUUAUGUGGCGAUUUACCCAUCCUUGUUUAGCACGGUACAGUUGUAUGACUUGGAAUGUCUUUAUUUUUUUAUGUUUUAAUUUUUUGUGUAAGCAAUCAAGCAAAAUGCAAAUGUUAUUGAAAUUGAUUGUAAGAUGGAAAUGUUUUUCCCAUAAAGCCAUUACCUUCUUACUUGACCUGCU
rnacentral:misc_RNA from 1 species